CCUACGGGGGGCAGCAGUGAGGAAUAUUGGUCAAUGGGCGAGAGCCUGAACCAGCCAAGUAGCGUGAAGGAUGAAUGACCUAUGGUUUGUAAACUUCUUUUAUAAAGGAAUAAAGUGAGGAACGUGUGCCUUUUUGUAUGUACCAUAUGAAUAAGCAUCGGCUAACUCCGUGCCAGCAGCCGCGGUAAUACGGAGGAUCCGAGCGUUAUCCGGAUUUAUUGGGUUUAAAGGGAGCGUAGAUGGGUUAUUAAGUCAGUCGUGAAAGUUUGGGGCUCAACCAUAAAAUUGCCAUUGAAACUGGCUGACUUGAGUAUAGUUGAGGUAGGCGGAAUUCGUGG
rnacentral:rRNA from 1 species